rnacentral:lncRNA from 1 species
GGUCUGUCGCGAGCAACCCUACACCAUGCACCAGCGCCACUGCUCCCAGCAGGAGUGGGUUUUGCAGCGGUGGCGGCAGCCCCGCGCCCAGGCCGAGCAGAGUCAGGGCUGCCAGCGCCUGUGGUUGGCAAGUCAUUUAACUUUUCCAAACAAAUCUGCAAAAUGGAGAUAACAGCACCUGCCUCAUUGCGUUGUGAAGAAGAUGAAAUGUUUAGCCCGGUGCCCAACACCCAGUUCUCACUCUGUCAUCCAGGCUGGUGUGCAGUGGUGCAAUGUGGGCUUACUGCAGCCUUGACCUCCAGGACAAGUGAUCUCCCACCUCAGCCUCCGGAAUAGCUGGGACUACAGCUCAACAACGCCCCUCUGAAAGUAGGACUCUUGGAAAUGAACCUUGUUGGGAGUAAAGCUGAACCUUCACCUCUCCUUUCCAGGAUUCUACUCCAUUCAUACGGCCUCACACUGAAUUAAUGUUUCUAGCAGCCACAUUACUUUGUUACCCAAUUGAUCUAGUAGUAAAGUCUUCCCAUCUCU